rnacentral:rRNA from 1 species
UUAAGCGACUAAGCGUACACGGUGGAUGCCCUGGCAGUCAGAGGCGAUGAAGGACGUGCUAAUCUGCGAUAAGCGUCGGUAAGGUGAUAUGAACCGUUAUAACCGGCGAUUUCCGAAUGGGGAAACCCAGUGUGAUUCGUCACACUAUCAUUAACUGAAUCCAUAGGUUAAUGAGGCGAACCGGGGGAACUGAAACAUCUAAGUACCCCGAGGAAAAGAAAUCAACCGAGAUUCCCCCAGUAGCGGCGAGCGAACGGGGAGCAGCCCAGAGCCUGAAUCAGUGUGUGUGUUAGUGGAAGCGUCUGGAAAGGCGCGCGAUACAGGGUGACAGCCCCGUACACAAAAAUGCACAUACUGUGAGCUCGAUGAGUAGGGCGGGACACGUGGUAUCCUGUCUGAAUAUGGGGGGACCAUCCUCCAAGGCUAAAUACUCCUGACUGACCGAUAGUGAACCAGUACCGUGAGGGAAAGGCGAAAAGAACCCCGGCGAGGGGAGUGAAAAAGAACCUGAAACCGUGUACGUACAAGCAGUGGGAGCACGCUUAGGCGUGUGACUGCGUACCUUUUGUAUAAUGGGUCAGCGACUUAUAUUCUGUAGCAAGGUUAACCGAAUAGGGGAGCCGAAGGGAAACCGAGUCUUAACUGGGCGUUAAGUUGCAGGGUAUAGACCCGAAACCCGGUGAUCUAGCCAUGGGCAGGUUGAAGGUUGGGUAACACUAACUGGAGGACCGAACCGACUAAUGUUGAAAAAUUAGCGGAUGACUUGUGGCUGGGGGUGAAAGGCCAAUCAAACCGGGAGAUAGCUGGUUCUCCCCGAAAGCUAUUUAGGUAGCGCCUCGUGAAUUCAUCUCCGGGGGUAGAGCACUGUUUCGGCAAGGGGGUCAUCCCGACUUACCAACCCGAUGCAAACUGCGAAUACCGGAGAAUGUUAUCACGGGAGACACACGGCGGGUGCUAACGUCCGUUGUGAAGAGGGAAACAACCCAGACCGCCAGCUAAGGUCCCAAAGUCAUGGUUAAGUGGGAAACGAUGUGGGAAGGCCCAGACAGCCAGGAUGUUGGCUUAGAAGCAGCCAUCAUUUAAAGAAAGCGUAAUAGCUCACUGGUCGAGUCGGCCUGCGCGGAAGAUGUAACGGGGCUAAACCAUGCACCGAAGCUGCGGCAGCGACGCUUAUGCGUUGUUGGGUAGGGGAGCGUUCUGUAAGCCUGCGAAGGCGUGCUGUGAGGCAUGCUGGAGGUAUCAGAAGUGCGAAUGCUGACAUAAGUAACGAUAAAGCGGGUGAAAAGCCCGCUCGCCGGAAGACCAAGGGUUCCUGUCCAACGUUAAUCGGGGCAGGGUGAGUCGACCCCUAAGGCGAGGCCGAAAGGCGUAGUCGAUGGGAAACAGGUUAAUAUUCCUGUACUUGGUGUUACUGCGAAGGGGGGACGGAGAAGGCUAUGUUGGCCGGGCGACGGUUGUCCCGGUUUAAGCGUGUAGGCUGGUUUUCCAGGCAAAUCCGGAAAAUCAAGGCUGAGGCGUGAUGACGAGGCACUACGGUGCUGAAGCAACAAAUGCCCUGCUUCCAGGAAAAGCCUCUAAGCAUCAGGUAACAUCAAAUCGUACCCCAAACCGACACAGGUGGUCAGGUAGAGAAUACCAAGGCGCUUGAGAGAACUCGGGUGAAGGAACUAGGCAAAAUGGUGCCGUAACUUCGGGAGAAGGCACGCUGAUAUGUAGGUGAAGUCCCUCGCGGAUGGAGCUGAAAUCAGUCGAAGAUACCAGCUGGCUGCAACUGUUUAUUAAAAACACAGCACUGUGCAAACACGAAAGUGGACGUAUACGGUGUGACGCCUGCCCGGUGCCGGAAGGUUAAUUGAUGGGGUUAGCGCAAGCGAAGCUCUUGAUCGAAGCCCCGGUAAACGGCGGCCGUAACUAUAACGGUCCUAAGGUAGCGAAAUUCCUUGUCGGGUAAGUUCCGACCUGCACGAAUGGCGUAAUGAUGGCCAGGCUGUCUCCACCCGAGACUCAGUGAAAUUGAACUCGCUGUGAAGAUGCAGUGUACCCGCGGCAAGACGGAAAGACCCCGUGAACCUUUACUAUAGCUUGACACUGAACAUUGAGCCUUGAUGUGUAGGAUAGGUGGGAGGCUUUGAAGUGUGGACGCCAGUCUGCAUGGAGCCGACCUUGAAAUACCACCCUUUAAUGUUUGAUGUUCUAACGUGGACCCGUGAUCCGGGUUGCGGACAGUGUCUGGUGGGUAGUUUGACUGGGGCGGUCUCCUCCUAAAGAGUAACGGAGGAGCACGAAGGUUGGCUAAUCCUGGUCGGACAUCAGGAGGUUAGUGCAAUGGCAUAAGCCAGCUUGACUGCGAGCGUGACGGCGCGAGCAGGUGCGAAAGCAGGUCAUAGUGAUCCGGUGGUUCUGAAUGGAAGGGCCAUCGCUCAACGGAUAAAAGGUACUCCGGGGAUAACAGGCUGAUACCGCCCAAGAGUUCAUAUCGACGGCGGUGUUUGGCACCUCGAUGUCGGCUCAUCACAUCCUGGGGCUGAAGUAGGUCCCAAGGGUAUGGCUGUUCGCCAUUUAAAGUGGUACGCGAGCUGGGUUUAGAACGUCGUGAGACAGUUCGGUCCCUAUCUGCCGUGGGCGCUGGAGAACUGAGGGGGGCUGCUCCUAGUACGAGAGGACCGGAGUGGACGCAUCACUGGUGUUCGGGUUGUCAUGCCAAUGGCACUGCCCGGUAGCUAAAUGCGGAAGAGAUAAGUGCUGAAAGCAUCUAAGCACGAAACUUGCCCCGAGAUGAGUUCUCCCUGACUCCUUGAGAGUCCUGAAGGAACGUUGAAGACGACGACGUUGAUAGGCCGGGUGUGUAAGCGCAGCGAUGCGUUGAGCUAACCGGUACUAAUGAACCGUGAGGCUUAACCUU